UUUGGUCAUAUAAGCAUUCAAAGUACGCAAAGUCAACGAAAGCAAGUAAAGCCAGCCAGCAUUGGGUCUGGACCUUUAGUUCUGUACGCUUAACUAAAGAGAAAGUUACAAAUAUCUGAAAUUCCAGCUGUUUUAUUCUAAUUCCUGAUUAUGGUACUAGCUUACGAGUGCUGAUUAUAAACCGAAAAUAUUUACUAUAUUGCGAAAACAUAACAACCACGUGGCCCCCAAAUGCAAUACGUGCCGUAUAUAAAUAAGGUGAUUCAGUUUAUCUACAAACUACAAUUUACUCGAAUGUGCCACUUGGAGACGCGCUGCGCUGAUGCUCGCUAACGCUAUUAAUGGUAUUCCAAUUGAAUCACGCAGAGCGGGUUAAGGUUAUCACAAGAAUUUUGGCUUAGGGUUUUAUCACUAUUUACAUAUUUACAUGUACUCGAUAUGCAGAACAGAAGCUGGAAGCUCGACUACUGCUCAUCUACUUCUAGGACGUGUACUUUUAUCAUACACAUACUCUAUUUAUAUAUAUUUAUUUUUCAAUUUCAUUUCCUUUCCCCUCACCCUUGUUCCAAAACAAGUCGUUCACUUGGAGCAAAGUAUCGGUGGUGCAUACACGCCGUCAUGCGGAAAGUCACGUUUGGAAGGUGACUCACGAGAUGGAACUCACACCGGGACGUUGCCAUGUGCUCCAGUUAUCCAUGCUUGACUCAACUCAGCUUAGACAAAUUUGGCUUCAAAAACUUAGAUGCAGUUAUACUUCACACAACUUCAACCUCAGCUGUUAUUAUUAUAGUUCCUGGGUAGAGUUGCCAGAUGUGCAGAUUUAUCUUUAAAAUUAUGUUUUUUAAAUUAAAAUAGCAUCAAGAUUGAAGAUUUUAAAACUGGUAUCCAAAAAAAUCUGUACUAUCAAGAAAUCUGUGAACAUGCGGAAAGUCACAUUUAGAAGGAGACUCACGAGAUGGAACUCACGCCGGGACGUUGGCAUGUGCGUAUGCGUGCGAAAAAUACCGUUGGCUGGUCGGCAUUUUCCGCGCAGCAUGAUUUCGUAAUUAAUGAUAAUGAAAGUGAUGCGGUGGAUGCUUACGGUGAUGUUGAUAAUGAAGUGGUCCUAUCAAGCCGCGAUAGUUUGGAGGAGAGAAGAGGAAUUAUUCAGCAACAACAAUUACACCCGAAAUAACAACAUCGUUGGAAUACACCGACGCCCAAUAACAACAAAAUCAGUGCACCCAAAAACAAGUUUGCACAUCGGUCACCACCAACAAGUAAAACCCAAAUAAUUAUUAAAUCACCCUUAAUUAUUGAAAGCGAAAGUCAUCAACAAACAACACAAAAACCCGCACAAAACAAAAAUCUACAAAGAUGAAAUAGUUUACACUCUCGAAAUCAAAAGAGUCGAACUCAACUCGCUUUACGAUAAAGCAAAGAAAGCAUAUAAUACAAUUCGCAGAGUAUCUAGUGAUACCCGAGAAACCAUCGAUUUUACUAAAGUCAAAGAUAGAUAUAAAAAAUGCUAUCAAAUGUACCUCUCUUGUUUAGCUUCAAUUAAUGAAAAUAUAGACACACGAAAAACCCAGGUGUCAACCCAACCCAUUAAGGAAAGAGCCUCAGAAUCCUCUACAAUAGAUUUCGGUCCCACGAUUAAUCUACCGCCAUGCGACACCGACAUCUUUUACGGGGAUUACACGGCUUGGCCCACAUUUCGUGACAUGUUCACCGCCCUGUAUAUACAUAACCCAAAGAUCAGUAACGUCGAAAAACUCUUUCAUCUAACCCAGAUGACCCGAGGCGAAGCAAGAGAAGCUAUCAAAAACACACCCCUAACAAACGAUGGUUUCAUACUGGCCUGGAAGAAUCUGGUCGAGCAGUAUGAAAAUAAGAGAAUGCAGAUAAACACCCAAUUGAAGACCCUCUUUAAUUUACCCGAUGUCACUCAAGAAACAGGCUGCGCCAUAAAAGCCCUGCAACGAACGGUUAACAACGUUUUAACCAAUUUAACCCAUCUUGAGAUUGACACAAAAAGUUGGGACCCGAUACUGAUAUAUCUUUGUAGUUCGAAACUACCGAAACAGACUCUAGAAGCAUUCGAAUCUACCCUAGAAGAUAUUACUUCUAUACCCACAUGGUCAAAUUUCGACAAUUUCUUGACCCAUAAGCAAAACACCCUCGAAUCUGUAGCAAAUUUCAAGGCUUCAGUAACAAAACUCCACUCAUCCCACCUUGGAUCAGUAAAAAAGACUGACGGAAACAAAUAUUACACAUUUCAUGCCAACGUGUCAGAAAACCUACUAGCUGGGCCCUCAAAUUAUCAAAACAGAUACACUUCUUCUCAACCCCACCCGGAAGCAGAAAGUUGCAAACUUUGCAAUAAACAUCACCCGAUUCGGGAAUGCCCCAAAUUCCUAGAAAUGAAUGUUGAGACCCGUAUAUCGACAAUUAAAAGGCAUGGUUAUUGCAAUAACUGCUUAGCAAUCUCACACAGCUACAAGAACUGUAGUAGUAAAAACACUUGUCGCAAAUGUCACAAAAGACAUAAUACACUGAUCCAUAGAGAAUAUAGCCCUAGACCUGAAUCCACCCCAAAUCCAGAAGCGACCAGUUCGACUUCUGAUAUUGCUAUAAGUGCCCCAAUACCCACCCACAACACAAUUCAACCCAAGUGACUGGAAUAACCAACACGGUUUUGGCAACCCCCACGAAAACUUGCAAUAUAACCCUUUGUUCACCCAUAAACACAAAUUACAAAAUAUCGGCUCGAGCAUUCAUCAUGAAUAGCCUUUCCGAUAAUGUACCCACUCACCCAAUAAACCCAAAUCUUUGUCUAAAUAAUCUUGGCUUCACCCUAGCGAAUACCCAAUUCCACAAACCGAGACCCGUGGACAUAUUAAUUGGUAGUGAUAUCUAUCCAAAUAUCCUACUAGGUGGAGUAAAACGAGACAUUCUAGGCUCACUCUUAGACCAAGAGACAGAAUUCGGAUGGAUUUUGACCGGACCCAUAACCCAACCCUUCCAAAACUCAUCCAUAGCAUCAUUUCACAACACUAUUAACCCUGAGUAUCUACUCACUCGCUUUGGGGAGGUGGAGGAUAUCCCAAAGGAUCCCGUAAGUCCCAAAUCUGAUGAAAUAUGUGAAGGAAAAUUUCAAAAAACUACCCGACGACAAUCAGAUGGGCGCUAUAUAUCAACCCUACCCACUACUCGGAAGAAAAAUAAAAGCGAUGAUCACAACACGACCCAAUCAUCAUCAAUCACCCACCAACGAAGAAAUAAAACUCAUCGUCAUGUUGCAUGCGGAUUGUGCAAGGAUGACCACCGGUUAGCCACAUGUACCAGAUACUUGUCGGCUAACUUACACAAAAAAUUGGAAGCAGUCCUCAACCACCGCUAUUGCGUUAACUGGAAGGAUGCACAAGUAGGAAUGUUCUACCUGCAAUGGGAAGCAUCAUUCAACCCUACAUGGACACCCAAGCCUACACCCAGCCAACGAGAAAGAAGUUUUUGAGAAACCAAGAUCUCAAACGCUACCCACAGAAACCCGGCUACCAUCCUUACUGGCUAAACAGACCCUUACACACUUUUAAAUCCGACCCUUAAGAGACUUAAGUGACGUUGAUCAAAUACUCUUUGACAACAUAGUCCUCUCUGACCCUCAAUUUCACACCCAUACAGAAGUAAUGUGGGAUAUCGGAGCGCAUAACUAUCCACACAAUACACGAAGUGGAUUGUUCAACCCAGACAAUGGCACCGUGGUAACCCAGAGCAUAACAUUCAUAUAGACCCUAACUUGCACCCUAAUAUAAAUACUGCAAGGCGGCCGGGAUGUUUAGUCCAAACAAAUACUCCUCUGCAUCACUCUCCAAAAAGUAAUAGAAGUAAUGCAGAGGAGUACAACCACCCCAAUUUCACUUAUCACCGAUCACUUCUCACACAACAAUAAAAAGAAAACAAAUAGAAGAAAAAGGUGAACAAGUCAACAAUACGAACAAGUACCCGCGCUUUAAAAAUAAGUGCUACAAUAAACUCAACACGAACCCAAAACCCGCGCUAAUAAAGUGAAGCGAACGAAAACCCGAAAACACAUAAUUAUAGGAAAAUAUAAAAUCCACAAAACACAAACACGCACGAAUUAAAAUGUAACCAAGUAGGAGAA